rnacentral:rRNA from 1 species
UACAGAGGGUGCAAGCGUUAAUCGGAAUUACUGGGCGUAAAGCGUGCGUAGACGGUUAUGUAAGUCGGGUGUGAAAGCCCCGGGCUCAACCUGGGAAUGCCAUUCGAGACUGCAUAGCUAGGGUGCGGAAGAGGGAAGCGGAAUUUCCGGUGUAGCGGUGAAAUGCGUAGAUAUCAGGAGGAACACCGGUGGUGUAAACGGCUUUCUGGACCGUAACUGACGCUGAUGCACGAAAGCGUGGGUAGCAAACAGG